UACAGAGGGUGCUAGCGUUGUUCGGAAUCAUUGGGCGUAAAGGGCGUGUAGGCGGUUUGUUAAGUCAUGUGUGAAAGCCCCCGGCUCAACCGGGGAACGACGCAUGAAACUGGCAAGCUAGAGUACCGAAGAGGGGGGUGGAAUUCCCGGUGUAGCGGUGAAAUGCGUAGAUAUCAAGUGGAACACCAGUGGCGAAGGCGAGUCUCUGGACAUUUCCUGACGCUGAGGCACGAAAGCCAGGGGAGCAAACGGG
rnacentral:rRNA from 1 species